GUGCUCACUUGGACAGCACAUAUACUAAAAUUAGAACAAUACAGAGAAGAUUAGCAUAGACCUGCACAAGGAUGGCACACCAAUUUCUGAAGCAUUUCGUGUUAGA
ensembl:snRNA U6 U6 spliceosomal RNA